GAUCAUGGCUCAGGAUGAACGCUGGCGGCGUGCUUAACACAUGCAAGUCGAACGAAGCGCUUUAUUCAGAUUCUUUCGGGAUGAUGAAUUUAGUGACUUAGUGGCGGACGGGUGAGUAACGCGUGGGUAACCUGCCUUACACAGGGGGAGUAACAGUUAGAAAUGACUGCUAAUACCGCAUAAAACAGCAGCACCGCAUGGUGCAACUGUCAAAGAUUUAUCGGUGUAAGAUCGG
rnacentral:rRNA from 1 species